AAGCAAUUCUCCUGCCUCACCCUUCCAAGUAGGUGGGAUUACAGGUGCACGCCACCAUGCCUGGCUAAUUUUUGUAUUUUUAUUUUUAUUUUAUUUAUUUAUUUUUUUGAGACGGAGUUUUGCUCUUGUUGCCCAGGAUGGAGUGCAGUGGCAUGAUCUUGGCUCACCGCAACCUCUGCCUCCCAGGUUCAAGCAAUUCUCCCACCUCAGCCUCCCAAGUAGCUGGGAUUACUGGCAUGCGCCACCACACCUGGCUAAUUUUUUUUUGUAUUUUUAGUAGAGACGGGGUUUCUCCGGUUGGUCAGGCUGGUCUUGAACUCCUGACCUCAGGUGAUCCGCCCAUCUCGGCCUCCCAAAGUGCUGGGAUUACAGGCGUGAGCCACCGUGCCCGGCAUUUUUGUAUUUUUAGUAGAGAUGGGAUGUCACCAUGUUGGUUGGCCAGGCUGGUCUCAAACUCCUGACCUCAGAUCCACCCACCUCGGCCUCCCAAAGUGCCGGGAUUACAGGCAUGAUCCACCACGCCUGGCCCUGAAGUAUCUUUGGUAGUACAUACGUAAAAGCCAUGAAAAUAUGGAAAUCUAGAAUAAGUGCUGAGAAGUAGACCUGCACAAAAUUUUCUCAACCAGCCACUAGAAUGUAAGUUCAUAAAGGCGGGGACGUUGUAUUGUUUACUGCUAUAUCCGAAGCAAUCUAGAACAGGGUCCAUUUAUUGUAUCAAAUGAAUAAUCAGUCCACCCAAAAGUAGAACGCUACAUAAAUUAUUUCAAAAACUAACUUUGAAUUUCAAAAAUUAAUCAUUAAUGGCAAAAGGGUUACCAUUUAAUAGAUACGGAGCUGGAGAGUAUCUUGGCUUUAUUGGAUUUAUUUAUUUAUUUAUUUAUCUUUUUGUAAUUAUUUCACUCUUAAUUCCUU
rnacentral:lncRNA from 1 species